rnacentral:hammerhead_ribozyme from 1 species
ACCCAGAUGACGAGUCCCAAAUAGGACGAAACGCGCGUCGAACUGGAU